rnacentral:rRNA from 1 species
AGAGAGAGACAUGCGCGCAUAUCAAUAAGCGGAGGAAAAGAAACUAACAAGGAUUCCCUUAGUAACGGCGAGUGAAGCGGGAAGAGCUCAAAUUUGAAAUCUUCAAGGUUUUACCUUGACGAAUUGUAGUUUAAAGAAGUGUUUUCUGCUGAAGUUUUGGUAAAAGUUCUUUGGAAUAGGACAUCAUAGAGGGUGAGAAUCCCGUAUUUGACCAUUAUUUUCAGCUUUGUGAUACACUUUCAAAGAGUCGGAUUGUUUGGGAAUGCAGUCCAAAAUGGGUGGUAAAUUUCAUCUAAAGCUAAAUAUUGGCGAGAGACCGAUAGCGAGCAAGUACCGUGAGGGAAAGAUGAAAAGAACUUUGAAAAGAGAGUUAAACAGUACGUGAAAUUGUCAAAAGGGAAGCGUUUGACACCAGUGUUGUUUUCUCGAAAAUCAAUUAAAAAUGGCUCGAUUUUGUAUUGCUUGAGACCUUAAAAGCUCACUGUACAUUUUUCGUGUCUUUUUUAAUGCACUUUUCGUUUAACAAGUCAACAUCAGUUUCUUUUGUUGUAAAAGGGUCAUUGGAAGGUGGCUUUCUUUUCGGAGAAAGUGUUUAUAGCCUUUGGCCUCUGCAAUCGGAGAGACUGAGGUCUGCAGCGUAGACUCUUCGGGGUUAGAUACAUUUGUGCUAAGUUAUAGCUUUUUAUAGACAACUUGUUGACUAUAAUUAGUCUUGUAGCUUACUCGCUUAUGCUAUUUUACCUACGCUUAGGAUGUUGAAGAUGUAGCACAUCAU